rnacentral:lncRNA from 1 species
UUCAUUCUUUACUUUUUACAUAUAUAUAUUAUGUAUGUGCAGAAACAAAUUGGGGUUUAAAAUUGUUGAUACGAGGAGUUAUCAAUUCAAUUUAUAUUUGUUUAUGUGUUAUAAUUUGUCAUUGCGUAUUUGCGUUGUUAGAUUUGCUUUUAUUGAGAUUUAUAUGCACUCCCAAGUCUCAAAUAAUGCUAGGAAUUAGGAUUGGUGGAGCUAAUGGACUGUUUCGUAAAUACAGUGAAAUUAUGGACCUGUGGUUAGAAGAAAUAAUGCUAGGAAAUAGGAUUAUUUUCUGGAGUUGGGACUUGGGAAGCUCAAUG